ensembl:rRNA 5SrRNA:CR33446 5SrRNA:CR33446
GCCAACGACCAUACCACGCUGAAUACAUCGGUUCUCGUCCGAUCACCGAAAUUAAGCAGCGUCGGGCGCGGUUAGUACUUAGAUGGGGGACCGCUUGGGAACACCGCGUGUUGUUGGCCUCGUCCACAACUUUUU